rnacentral:rRNA from 1 species
UGGAUCCAGACUUUGAUCAUGGCUCAGGACGAACGCUGGCGGCGUGCCUAAUACAUGCAAGUCGAGCGAGCUUGCCUAGAUGAUUUUAGUGCUUGCACUAAAUGAAACUAGAUACAAGCGAGCGGCGGACGGGUGAGUAACACGUGGGUAACCUGCCCAAGAGACUGGGAUAACACCUGGAAACAGAUGCUAAUACCGGAUAACAACACUAGACGCAUGUCUAGAGUUUGAAAGAUGGUUCUGCUAUCACUCUUGGAUGGACCUGCGGUGCAUUAGCUAGUUGGUAAGGUAACGGCUUACCAAGGCAAUGAUGCAUAGCCGGGUUGAGAGACUGAUCGGCCACAUUGGGACUGAGACACGGCCCAAACUCCUACGGGAGGCAGCAGUAGGGAAUCUUCCACAAUGGACGAAAGUCUGAUGGGGCAACGCCGCGUGAGUGAAGAAGGGUUUCGGCUCGUAAAGCUCUGUUGGUAGUGAAGAAAGAUAGAGGUAGUAACUGGCCUUUAUUUGACGGUAAUUACUUAGAAAGUCACGGCUAACUACGUGCCAGCAGCCGCGGUAAUACGUAGGUGGCAAGCGUUGUCCGGAUUUAUUGGGCGUAAAGCGAGUGCAGGUGGUUCAAUAAGUCUGACGUGAAAGCCUUCGGCUCAACCGGAGAAUUGCAUCAGAAACUGUUGAACUUGAGUGCAGAAGAGGAGAGUGGAACUCCAUGUGUAGCGGUGGAGUGCGUAGAUAUAUGGAAGAACACCAGUGGCGAAGGCGGCUCUCUGGUCUGCAACUGACGCUGAGGCUCGAAAGCAUGGGUAGCGAACAGGAUUAGAUACCCUGGUAGUCCAUGCCGUAAACGAUGAGUGCUAAGUGUUGGGAGGUUUCCGCCUCUCAGUGCUGCAGCUAACGCAUUAAGCACUCCGCCUGGGGAGUACGACCGCAAGGUUGCAACUCAAAUGAAUUGACGGA